CUUGCCAUUGCAACGAAAGACCAGGGGCAUUCCAGACAUUAGGCCAUUGAAUCUCAAAACCCACAACAAUGGUGCCCCUCUGCUUCAUUACAAACUGUUACAGUGAUUUUUGGGAGCGAGAGGGACUGAUUCGAUGGACGUGAAACAUGUUUGACUGCAUUCUCAAACCCCCACAAACCGCUUUACAAAUCCCAAAACCACCUCUCAUCGCGCCCAAAACCACCCAACCAAAAACCGCUUAGUCACACACCACUCUCUGGUCUGCAUCCGUACUGGGCCUGCUCCAUUGGCUGAGUUGGCAUUAAUGGCCACUACAGUGAAAAACUCCACAUUAUUGCUACAAAAGGGCUUCAAAUUGAGAAAACCCAACUUUUUUAGAGAGAGAAAACAGCUAUUUGCGACUAUUUGCGAUGGAAUGGGACCGGAAAACCGCUCCAUUUGACUCAGGGGACCCCAUGGUGUUUUUGGGGAAGGCUCAUGAAGAAAACCCAUUAUUGAUUUCUGGUUUUAAUGGUGGAAAAGGUGGUUUGUCCUCCUCUGUUACCAUAGACUUGAAGCUUGGAAGGUUGGGUGAUUGUGAAAGUGGUUUUGAUGAGAGGCUUACGAAGAAAACAGUGGUACAGGGUAAGAGAGGGAGAGGGGGAGUUUCAGGGGUUCCUCUUUGUCAAGUUGAGGGCUGUAAUGUUGAUCUCAGAGCUUCAAAGGAUUAUCAUAAGAGGCAUAAAGUUUGCGAUAUUCAUUCGAAGACGGCUAAGGUCAUCGUUAAGGGAAUUGAGCAGAGGUUUUGUCAACAGUGUAGCAGAUUUCAUUUGUUGGCGGAAUUUGAUGACGGUAAACGAAGUUGCCGUAAACGCCUCGCUGGCCACAAUGAGCGUCGUAGAAAACCACAGCUAGAAGCACGCUUAGGGAAAUCCGGGAGGUUGCUUCCAGCUUAUCCAGGUGACAGGUUCCAUGGGUCUUCCUUAAUUACAAGAACUUCCUUUAUAUGCCCUGAAAUUUUUCCUCAUGCCAUUGAUGUUGGCCUACCUGAACCCAAGUGUGGAAACGGCAACUGGUUCAAACCCAUAAAGACAGAGGAGGAUUCCAUUUAUAACCCUGAGGCCCAUAAGCCCAUCACCAAUAACCAAUCAAUCCUCAAGCCUCCUUUCUCUCUCUACAACUUCGGCAACUACAAGAACAACCCUUGCUUGCAAGACAUAACAAGUUUUGAUGCACCACCAACCAUUGAAGGCUUGUCCAGGGUCGUCGAUUCCGGUUGUGCUCUCUCUCUUCUGUCAUCUCAAUCAUGGAGCCCCUCAACUGACUCAUCAGGCAUUCCUAUAGCUCAACCGUUGAUCAAUUUAGGCGGUCAAGCACCUUCUCAAUUCAAUGUGAGUCAAUUCUCUGAUAUUGGUCAUUUUACCGACAAGAUGAUCUCUAUCAACUCUCAGACUUCGACGAGUGUGGGUUCGAGUAGGUUCUCUUCAUCAGGAAUGAACUCUAUGGAGGAUGAGCACUUGGGGGCUGUUUUAGUCUCAGACUCGAGUGAUGCUACUGAUUUUAAGGUGAAAACAGAGAUCAUGUUUCAUGAACAACAGAGGCAGGUGAAACAGGGGAAUGAGCUCUUCCACUGGUAUCCUGUUACUUGAAGUCGGUCUUCCAUGUUUCUCUCUUGGUUGCUUGCAGUGACACAGGAUAAAGUAUAUGAUGAUCCUUAUGAUUAUGAUAAGAAAUUGGUCAUGAGGUUCAUCACCGCUCAUUAUGGUGAUGAAGGAAGAGUAGGAUGCACAACUGAACUAAUGAUAUGCUUGGUUGGACCCCAUUGUCUCUCCAUCAGCAUACUGAAGGGACCAUGAUUUUAUGUGGCAGAUCAUGACUAAGCCAUUCUCCUUGUGGACUAUGUGAUUAGAGAAGAUUAAUGAAUAAAACAAAUUCUCCAUGAGACGUGGAGCUGCUUCACAAUGAGCUGCAACAAAAGAAAAUGAGGAACUGGAGUUGAGUUUUGAAGAUUAUCACCAAAGUGAGGCACUUGACCUUUCUGACCAUUGUGGGGUCAGGAUUGAAUUGCAUGCCAUAUAUGUGGCAUCCCUGCUCCCACAUGUAUUAGCACCUAUAUAGAAGUGUAUAUUGCUUUUCUUCUCAUUCUCAUUUUCCAUGGGAGAUGGGAAUUCAUGAUGUUCUAUUCGGUUAUUGUGAUCCUUUCUGUGCCUCUUGAUCUCCCUGUGAGCUGUCUUGAUGUAUUAUUUAUGCAUUCAUGUAUCAGUAGGUAUCAAUGAAGAUAUUAUACUGUGCUCUCUUGAGGAGGAUACGUCAGCUAUGCUCCCUAUGCAUGAUCCAUUAGCCAGUAUUGGUUGGAGGGUGGAGUACAUAUAGGAUGUGUCUGUACUAUUAGACAAACUGCAUGAUGACUCCUCUGUCGAACAAAUAUUGGAUGCUGAAUAUCCUACCAUGGAUAAGCUUCAGUACCCUAGAGAGCAUUGUAUACCCUGGAUUACCUUGUUGUUAUGUCAGCAUACAUUCAUAUUUAGUUGCAUGCUAACAUACUAUUAAUCUGAACCCCAUAUUUAAUUGUAUGCUAGCAUACUAUUAAUCUGAACCCCAGUAGCAAAUGCAUCUUCUAGUGCACUAUUUCUCUA